rnacentral:rRNA from 1 species
AACGGCUGGCGGCGUGCUUAACACAUGCAAGUCGAACGGAGAAUAGAAGGAAGCUGCGAAUCUAUCUAGUGGCGGACGGGUGAGUAACGCGUGGGUAACCAACCCAUAACACCGGGACAACCCUGGGAAACUGGGGCUAAUACCGGAUACGUUCUUCUUAGGGCAUCCUGGGAAGAAGAAAGGUGGCCUCUGAAAAUGCUGCCGAUUAUGGACGGACCCGCGUCUGAUUAGCUAGUUGGUAGGGUAACGGCCUACCAAGGCGACGAUCAGUAGCCGGCCUGAGAGGGUGACCGGCCACACUGGGACUGAGACACGGCCCAGACUCCUACGGGAGGCAGCAGUGGGGAAUAUUGCGCAAUGGGCGAAAGCCUGACGCAGCCAACGCCGCGUGAGUGAGGAAGGCCUUCGGGUUGUAAAGCUCUGUCUUUUUGGACGAAACCUAAUUCGUAAAUAGCGGAUUAGAUGACGGUACAAGGAAAGGAAGCCCCGGCUAACUACGUGCCAGCCGCGGC